GGAGACAAUUACGGGAUUGUAAAGGAUUCAAAACCCUGACCUUGAAUAGCUAUGUAAUAUGUGUAUUUCAUUCAUGAAAUACCUUUACAGUACCCAAUGUGGUUGUACAUCAGUAGCGGACAUUAAAUUACGUCCCCCUUAUAUUCAGCGUGGACAUUUUAUUCCUUUUAGUCCAUGUUUGUGUUGUCUUAUUUUCUUUCCCCUUGUCCCCUGUAACGCUACUUGUGUAAAGCGUCCUUGGGUUUCCUGAAAUGCUCUAUAUUGAUCUAAGUUGGUUGCUACGUUG